rnacentral:rRNA from 1 species
GUUGACCUCGGAUCAAGUAGGACUACCCGCUGAACUUA